CCCCACUUCGACUUUUCCCAAGGCUACACGGCUGUCGCUCAUAUCCUCUCUUCGAAACCGGAAGGAUUUUGUAAAAAAUAUUAAAAAACCGAAAGAAUUUUCGGCGUUGCCACGCAGGUCAACCAUCACAUAUGGAAUCCUCAAUUUGGCCGGCUGAUUUAAAUUGAUUAGGGAGGUAUUGAAAAAAUAAGGUCAACCAUCACAUAUGGAAUCCUCAAAUUUGCUGGCCGAUUUAAAUUGGUUUGGAAGGUAUUGGAAAAAUAAGAUGUAUACAGUGGACAUGACAUAUAGACUGCUAGGGUGUCAUUUAUUUUGAUAUGGAGUGACAUCUUUUCGAUCAUGUCAUGCGGUAGUUUAGUCAGAUUCAAGACAUCUCAAAGCAGUUUGAUAUCAGUCAGAGACUUCAUCGUAUUGAUCGACGAGGGAGAGUUCGUAUUGAUUAGCAUAUCAGAUAUGCAGAAUACAUCGUCAUUUGAAAUGUAUGUCGAGAUCUCAUAGUUCAUGGUGAUUCUAUUUUGAAAGGUCGUUCAUAUACCAAGGACUACAUGUUUUGAUUUUUUAGCAUUACAGUGUGAGUUAUUGGACAACAUCGGUAUGCAGUUUCAGGAUACGAUGGUGAGAGUUCUGUUAUAUCAUAAAAAUUAUAUUUUAUAUUAAUAUAUUUAUUUUUAAUAAUUAAGAUU